AUUCAUUCAUUUAGGGGAACACACUACAUUUGAGAGGAAAAACAUCAGACUUAAAAGAAAGCAGAGAAUUUGAGAGUUGCCAGAUUUGGCAUUGAGAGGGUAAUUCUGCAUUGGAGCAAAAGAGAAGAGCAAGGGAGCAGCAACAUGAGUAGUGUCACAGAAAUCACCAAAAUGGGCUUCUGGGAUAGUGUAUGACUCGAAGCAGUAAUGGGAUCAGACCAUUCGAAUCUGAACUAAAAAGGAUCUUAACACACGCUUAAAAAGGCCAACUUCCAAUAGUAACCCAACCUUCAACGACAGACCCAUAAACUGCUAAUCCUCCGAUCGUGAAUCGGAGUGUAGAGGAACACGUACCCCUACUUCUCCAAAGACAAAUAGAGCAAUGUACAUUGCGAGACUAUGCUAUGCCCAACCUAGAAGCACUUCAAAGGAGCAUUAAUCAUCUCACGGUGAAUGCAAACAACUUUGAGAUAAAGCCGACAUGAUUUAGAUGAUUCAAAGGACC